CGUACAAGCAGUGGGAGCACCUUCGGGUGUGACUGCGUACCUUUUGUAUAAUGGGUCAGCGACUUAUAUUCUGUAGCAAGGUUAACCGUAUAGGGGAGCCGCAGGGAAACCGAGUCUUAACUGGGCGUUAAGUUGCAGGGUAUAGACCCGAAACCCGGUGAUCUAGCCAUGGGCAGGUUGAAGGUUGGGUAACACUAACUGGAGGACCGAACCGACUAAUGUUGAAAAAUUAGCGGAUGACUUGUGGCUGGGGGUGAAAGGCCAAUCAAACCGGGAGAUAGCUGGUUCUCCCCRAAAGCUWUUUAGGUASCSCCUCGUGAACUCMUCUUCGGGGGUARARCACUGUUUCGGCUAGGGGGUCWUCCCGACUUACCAACCCGAUGCAAACUACGAAUACCGAARAAUGUUAUCACGSGAGAMACMCGGCGGGUGCWAACGUCCGUCSUGAARARGGAAACAACCCAGACCGCCAGCUAWGGUCCCAAASUCWUGGUUAAGUGGGAAAMRAUKUKGGAAGGCACARACAGMCAGGAUGUUGGCUUAGAAGCAGCCAUCAUUUAAAGAAAGCCUAAUAGCUCACUCGUCGAGUCGGCCUGCGCGGAAGAUGUAACGGGGUUAAUCCAUGCACCGAAGUUGCGGCAGCGACACUAUGUGUUGUGGGGUAGGGGAGCAUUCUGUAAGCCUGCGAAGGUGACCUGUGAGGCUUGCGGGAGGUAUCAGAAGUGCGAAUGCCGACAUAAGUAACGAUAAAGCGGGUGAAAAGCCCGCUCGCCGGA
rnacentral:rRNA from 1 species